AUUGAACGCUGGCGGCAGGCCUAACACAUGCAAGUCGAGCGGAUGAAGGGAGUUUGCUCUUGGGUUCAGCGGCGGACGGGUGAGUAAUGCCUAGGAAUCUGCCCGGUAGUGGGGGAUAACGUCCGGAAACGGGCGCUAAUACCGCAUACGUCCUGAGGGAGAAAGCGGGGGAUCUUCGGACCUCACGCUAUUGGAUGAGCCUAGGUCGGAUUAGCUAGUUGGUGGGGUAAAGGCCUACCAAGGCGACGAUCCGUAACUGGUCUGAGAGGAUGAUCAGUCACACUGGAACUGAGACACGGUCCAGACUCCUACGGGAGGCAGCAGUGGGGAAUAUUGGACAAUGGGCGCAAGCCUGAUCCAGCCAUGCCGCGUGUGUGAAGAAGGUCUUCGGAUUGUAAAGCACUUUUAGUUGGGAAGAAAGGCAGUAAGUUAAUACCUUGCUGUUUUGACGUUACCAACAGAAUAAGCACCGGCUAACUUCGUG
rnacentral:rRNA from 1 species